UACGUAGGCAGCAAGCGUUGUUCGGAGUUACUGGGCGUAAAGAGUGCGUAGGUGGUGCCCUAAGUCUGUUGUGAAAUCUCCCGGCUUAACUGGGAGGGUGCGGUGGAAACUGGGGUGCUUGAGUGUGGGAGAGGUAAGCGGAAUUCCUGGUGUAGCGGUGAAAUGCGUAGAUAUCAGGAGGAACACCGGUGGUGUAGACGGCUUACUGGACCACGACUGACACUGAGGCGCGAAAGCGUGGGUAGCAAACAGG
rnacentral:rRNA from 1 species